rnacentral:rRNA from 1 species
CCAAAUCAGUGCUAAGUGGGAAAGGAUGUGGAGGCACACAGACAGCCAGGAGGUUGGCUUAGAAGCAGCCAUCCUUUAAAGAAAGCGUAAUAGCUCACUCGUCAAGAGAGCCCGCGCCGAAAAUAUAACGGGGCUAAGUCUGGUACCGAAGCUUCGGAUUCAUCCGCAAGGGUGAGUGGUAGCGGAGCAUUGUCAGGCAGAUACAUGGUGUACCGUAAGGAGCACUUCGGGGCCUGAGAAGAGCUUAUGCAGGCAUGAGUAGCGAUAAACAGGAUGAGAAAUCCUGUCGCCGUAAGCCCAAGGUUUCCUGGGGAAGGAUAAUCCUCCCAUGGGUUAGUCGGUGCCUAAGCUGAGCCCGAAAGGGGUAGGUGAUGGGAAGCAGGUUAAUAUUCCUGCACCAGUUGGGAAGGCGUUGAAUCGAGCAGGGACGGAGAAGGGUAUGCUGAGCCUGGUGAUUGGUUAUCCAGGUUCAAGCCAGUAGGCAGAGUUCAUAGGACCCGAUAGGGACAAACGUGGACUCAAUGCCGAGAGGUGAUGAGGCUGAGCUUCGGCUCAAUAACUCAGUGAUCCCAUGCUUCCAAGAAAAGCUGCGCGAGGAGCCUCUUGACUGACCGUACCGCAAACCGACUCAGGUGGGCGGGGUGAGUAUCCCAAGGCGCGUGAGAGAACGCUGGUUAAGGAACUCGGCAAAUUUACACCGUAACUUCGGGAGAAGGUGUGCCCUUUGACGUGAAGCAUGUACGUGCGGAGCGUUGGGGGGUUGCAGAGAAACGGGGGUGGCGACUGUUUACUAAAAACACAGGACUCUGCGAACUCGCAAGAGGACGUAUAGGGUCUGACGCCUGCCCGGUGCUGGAAGGUUAAGGGGAGUUGUCAGCGCAAGCGAAGCAACGAACCGAAGCCCCAGUAAACGGCGGCCGUAACUAUGACGGUCCUAAGGUAGCGAAGUUCCUUGUCGGGUAAGUUCCGACCUGCACGAAUGGCGUAACGACUUCCCCGCUGUCUCCAACGCAGACUCAGUGAAAUUGAAUUCCCCGUGAAGAUGCGGGGUUCCUGCGGUCAGACGGAAAGACCCCGUGCACCUUUACUAUAGCUUCGCAUUGGUAUUCGUGACUGCAUGUGUAGGAUAGGUGGGAGACUAUGAAGCCGCGGCGCCAGUUGCGGUGGAGUCACCCUUGAAAUACCACCCUUACAGUUAUGGAUAUCUAACCGCGACCCGUUAUCCGGGUCCGAGACCGUGCGUGGUGGGUAGUUUGACUGGGGUGGUCGCCUCCGAAAGUGUAUCGGAGGCUUUCAAAGGUAUGCUCAGUACGCUUGGUAACCGUACGUGGAGUGCAAUAGCAUAAGCAUGCUUGACUGUGAGACAGACAAGUCGAUCAGGAACGAAAGUUGGAUAUAGUGAUCCGGUGGUUCUGUAUG